rnacentral:sRNA from 1 species
CAAGUAGCAGGUGUCAUUGCGAAGAAGUACGCUGACACAGGCUUUGCAGGCCAGCUCAACAUUACGAUGUUAACCAUUUUCUAUUUUUAGUUUUCUUUAGUUUCUCUUAUGAAAAGUUAGGAGCAUAAUUGUUUUUUGCCUUUUAGGUUUACUGGAAGUGCAGGGCCAGUCUUUUGGAUGUUUUCUAACUCCUGGAAUACUCUGCAAGUUGAGAGAGGCCAAUGAUUAUGUUGGAAAGAAUUUGCAGGGCAUGGGUGGUGGAGAGAUGGUUGUAGCUCCUGUAGAGUGUACUAGAUAGCACAGGAUUCGUUCCUGACUUCCUGACGAAGCUACUAUAGCUGGAAACGCUUGUCUGUGUUGGCUACUAGUGAGCAGGUAUUUGUGACAGGCAAAACAGGUGAAACUCUCUUGGUCAAUCAGUGGUUGAGGUCAGGGCACUGGAGAUCAUUGCUGCGAGUACAUGAUCGGUGGCUGUGUAGUUGGCAAAUCCUCCCUGUUUCACAAUCCGGCAGAGCCCGGGCAGCUGCUCAGGGUCGCCGGGCCUUGGCUCCGACGCUGGUCCUGACAUAUGCAUAUUCCUCAAUUGGUAGAGUAAGGAGGAACGUUGCAGCUGGAAUGACGGGUGGCCUUGCCUAUGUUCAACUGCAAUCAGCAAGUGAUCAUCAGAUUAGGUGACAGGAAGGUGUUCGUUCUUUGACACUUUCCUGGGACAGCAUCAUGGAAAAAGAAAUAACCCAGGAUACUUGUGACGCAACGAAGUGCCCCGAAUACUGCGAAUUUUGUGGAACCUCAUAAAGGCAGCGAAAGCUGAAAACACUUCUAAACUUCUCGAAUCCUCUACAGGAUUCGUGCCAUUUGUAAUCAUAUUUUGGUUCUGGGCAAUUUAAGUUUUGAGCUGUUUUACCGGUACUAAUGGGUAUUAGUAAUAGGUACCAAGGUAGGAGUACCAAUCAUGUCUAUACGUCAGUCCAUUCAUGAUGAAGGGUAGUAUGAUCAGAAUGUGUAAAUGUCGGUCCGUACUCGCUACACGCCUACACCAUCUUCCGAGACAUUCAUCUCUGGGCAGCU